CGCCCUUCCUACGGGAGGCAGCAGUGGGGAAUUUUGGACAAUGGGCGCAAGCCUGAUCCAGCAAUGCCGCGUGAGUGAAGAGGGCCUUCGGGUUGUAAAGCUCUUUCAGUCGAGAAGAAAAGGUUGUGACUAAUAAUCAUAACUCAUGACGGUAUCGACAGAAGAAGCACCGGCUAACUACGUGCCAGCAGCCGCGGUAAUAAGGGCGAUCCC
rnacentral:rRNA from 1 species